GAAAUGCGAUAAGUAAUGUGAAUUGCAGAAUUCAGUGAAUCAUCGAAUCUUUGAACGCAUCUUGCGCUCCUUGUUAUUCCUUGGAGCAUGCCUGUUUGAGUAUCAUGAAAUCUUCAAAGUAAAUCUUUUGUUAACUCAAUUGGUUUCUACUUUGGUAUUGGAGGUCUUUGCAGCUUCACACCUGCUCCUCUUUGUUCAUUAGCUGGAUCUCAGUGUUAUGCUUGGUUCCACUCGGCGUGAUAAGUUAUCUAUCGCUGAGGACACUGUAAAAGGUGGCCAAGGUAAAUUCAGAUGAACCGCUUCUAAUAGUCCAUUGACUUGGACAAUACUUUUAUGAUCUGAUCUCAAAUCAGGUAGGACUACCCGCUGAACUUAAGC
rnacentral:misc_RNA from 1 species